UUUCGCAAUGCCCGAAAGGGUGACGAAGCGACGCCGCGUGCGGGAAGAAGGCCUUCGGGUUGUAAACCGCUGUCGGGAGUUAAGAAAUGUAAGGAUGUUAAUAGCAUCUUUGCUUGACUAAGGCUCCGGAGGAAGCCACGGCUAACUCUGUGCCAGCAGCCGCGGUAAUACAGAGGCGGCAAGCGUUGUUCGGAAUUAUUGGGCGUAAAGAGCACGUAGGCGGCUAUGUAAGUCGGUUGUGAAAGCCUUCCGCUCAACGGGAGAACAGCAUCCGAUAUUGCAUGGCUUGAGUGCGGGAGGGGAGAGUGGAACUUCUGGUGGAGCGGUGAAAUGCGUAGAUAUCAGAAGGAACGCCGGCGGCGAAAGCGGCUCUCUGGCCCAUAACUGACGCUGAGUGUGCGAAAGCUAGGGGAGCAAACGGGAUUAGAUACCCCGGUAGUCCUAGCCGUAAACGAUGGGCACUAAGUAGAGGGGUUUUA
rnacentral:rRNA from 1 species